UGGGGAAUAUUGGACAAUGGGCGCAAGCCUGAUCCAGCCAUGCCGCGUGAGUGAAGAAGGCCUUAGGGUUGUAAAACUCUUUCACCCGUGAAGAUGAUGACGGUAGCGGGAGAAGAAGCCCCGGCUAACUCCGUGCCAGCAGCCGCGGUAAUACGGAGGGGGCAAGCGUUGUUCGGAUUUACUGGGCGUAUAGGGCGCGUAGGCGGGCGAUCAAGUCAGAGGUGAAAGGCCUGGGCUCAAUCUAGGAACUGCCUUUGGAACUGUUCAUCUUGAGUCCGGGAGAGGAUGGCGGAAUUCCCAGUGUAGAGGUGAAGUUCAUAGAUAUUGGGAAGAACACCGGUGGCGAAGGCGGCCAACUGGACCGGCACUGACGCUGAGGCGCGAAAGCGUGGGGAGCAAACAGGAUUAGAUACCCCCGUAGUCC
rnacentral:rRNA from 1 species